AGAGUUUGAUCCUGGCUCAGGACGAACGCUGGCGGCGUGCCUAAUACAUGCAAGUCGAGCGAGCUGAAUUCAAAGAUCCCUUCGGGGUGAUUUGUUGGACGCUAGCGGCGGAUGGGUGAGUAACACGUGGGCAAUCUGCCCUAAAGACUGGGAUACCACUUGGAAACAGGUGCUAAUACCGGAUAACAACAUGAAUCGCAUGAUUCAAGUUUGAAAGGCGGCGCAAGCUGUCACUUUAGGAUGAGCCCGCGGCGCAUUAGCUAGUUGGUGGGGUAAAGGCCUACCAAGGCAAUGAUGCGUAGCCGAGUUGAGAGACUGAUCGGCCACAUUGGGACUGAGACACGGCCCAAACUCCUACGGGAGGCAGCAGUAGGGAAUCUUCCACAAUGGACGCAAGUCUGAUGGAGCAACGCCGCGUGAGUGAAGAAGGUUUUCGGAUCGUAAAGGUCUGUUGUUGGUGAAGAAGGAUAGAGGCAGUAACUGGUCUUUAUUUGACGGUAAUCAACCAGAAAGUCACGGCUAACUACGUGCCAGCAGCCGCGGUAAUACGUAGGUGGCAAGCGUUGUCCGGAUUUAUUGGGCGUAAAGCGAGCGCAGGCGGAAUG
rnacentral:rRNA from 1 species